rnacentral:lncRNA from 1 species
UUCUCACUCCCAACUCGUCAUAUACUGACGCUUGGUCAGGAACCCUCGGCGUAGGUUAUUGACGCACAGGGUACCCCUUUAGCGUCAUAUUUAGACGUGCAGGGAUUCCCUAUAGAAUAUGUACCUGAGCCUGAGGCGUCAUAGGGAGACGCUGGAGGCUCGUAUAAUUACCAAUAGAUGUCAACGCAAUUUUUAAAACCUGAUUUACGCCUAUUAUCGCAGUUUUCUUAUUUUAAAAAUAUGUCAUUUUUAUUUUGUUCAUGAAAAGCGUCUGUAAACUGGGUCGAAACUACUGUAUGAAUAAACUUCGGUCCACGUGACAUCCCUUCACGUCUAUGGUCGCGAUCCCAAGGUUCAUUGCGAUCCCAAGGUUCACUGCGGUUUUCCACAAG